rnacentral:rRNA from 1 species
UACGUAGGGUGCAAGCGUUGUCCGGAAUUAUUGGGCGUAAAGAGCGUGUAGGCGGCCCGAUUAGUCCGCUGUGAAAGUCCAGGGCUCAACCCUGGGAUGCCGGUGGAUACUGUCGGGCUCGAGUCCGGAAGAGGAGUGUGGAAUUCCUGGUGUAGCGGUGAAAUGCGCAGAUAUCAGGAGGAACACCAAUGCGAAGGCAGCACUCUGGGACGUGACUGACGCUGAGACGCGAAAGCGUGGGGAGCAAACAGG